rnacentral:rRNA from 1 species
UAGGGAAUCUUCGGCAAUGGGGGGAACCCUGACCGAGCAACGCCGCGUGAGUGAAGAAGGUUUUCGGAUCGUAAAGCUCUGUUGUUAAGGAAGAACGAGUGUGAGAAUGGAAAGUUCAUACUGUGACGGUACUUAACCAGAAAGGGACGGCUAACUACGUGCCAGCAGCCGCGGUAAUACGUAGGUCCCGAGCGUUGUCCGGAUUUAUUGGGCGUAAAGCGAGCGCAGGCGGUUAGAUAAGUCUGAAGUUAAAGGCAGUGGCUCAACCAUUGUAAGCUUUUGAAACUGUUUAACUUGAGUGCAGAAGGGGAGAGUGGAAUUCCAUGUGUAACGGUGAAAUGCGUAGAUAUAUGGAGGAACACCGGUGGCGAAAGCGGCUCUCUGGUCUGUAACUGACGCUGAGGCUCGAAAGCGUGGGGAGCGAACAGG